UACACGUUCACUGCUGGAGGCAGAGGCCUCUUCAGGUUCCCAGUGGAAGAUGGGCUGUCAUGGAAGCGCACCCCCAUCUCCGCUCACCCUGGCUGUGCUCCUUGAAGGUUUAUUUAAGGUUCUCUGCUGUCCACUGAGUUUGUGAAGCCCCCUGACUGUGAAGCCUAAGGAGAGGACCUGCCUGCCUGGUUGCUCAGCGUUUGCAGGACAUGAGCCACAGUCCAGUCUCCUGACCUCACCCCACCUCGAGUCAUUUAUUGUAAGAAGAAAAGGAUGGUCCAUUUUCAAAGGAGCCAUUCGCUAGUGACUUCAGGCCUGGCUACAGGUAGAUAGGCAGAGAACAGAAAGGUUGGUGAACUUCAGAAGAACCUUGCCUGGCACGUUCUACAUUCUGUGUGCUACUAUUCCCUACCAUGCCCAGGACACACUAAAAGGGGCUUGCCGAAACAGAGAGAACAUGACAAGAGUUUUUCUAUAUAGCCUUGGCUUUCCUGGAACAUGCUCUGUAGCAUUUUCAAGGCAGGCCUCGAACCCACAGAGAUCUGCCCACCUCUGAGUCUUGACUUUCAAUAACUGGAUGAGUGGAGACAAAGGCUCCUCCAUUCUUUAGCUUCAAGACAUAUCACAGACUGAGAUGCCUCUUUGCUCAGCCUUUUGGUGAACACAUCAAACACAAUGCCAGGUCACCGGGUACAUCCAAUGCUCAGACACCGAGGUCAACAAUGAACCUGCUACUUUCGGUCCACGCAGUGUGCUGACACCCAGUUUCACUUGUCUGCUGGGAAGACCCCGCUCUGACCAUCCGUGAAUGGUUCACCAGCUUCCACGCCUGCUUUGGUAAUGUGCUCAGUUUAAGGAUUUUCCAUUCAUUUCUAGCUCUGCCCAGCAGCCCAGUGUAGACACAUACUUGUCACGUCUUUCAGUGAUGAAGCCCUGAUCUUCAGAGACAGCUAUACUGGCUCCAGCUUCUCUUGGGACCUUCAGGACUUGGCCAGAUGUGUUCCAUGAAUCAUUCUCUGAAACUAGAAUUCCCACCCCUAGUCUUCUCCAAGCCACCUUCCCCUCCCUUUUGAGCCGUAACUCCCUAUAGAGAUGGCCGGAGUCCCUUAAGAUCAAUUACUCUGGCAACAGAAAAACAGAUUUUAAUGAGAUCACCCAGCUCUGGGAUGUGUCGGGCGGGCAUGCGGUGGGAAGAGCGAGCUGAGGUUGCCUUGAUCACUUAUGCCGCCUCAGCAGCCACUCCUUACAGAACCCCAGGUUUGCUUGGUCUGGUAGCUGUGUAGGUAGGUGGGGAAAUACAGUUCUGCCCUGGGGACACUGAUGUGCAAUCCCAGUCACUGUAGAUAGAGAGGCGACAGUGUAAGGACCAAGGUCAGUCACAGCCCAGCAUCCUUUCUCUGCUCUCGAGGUCCAUCCAUCUCCGAUGUCAAGUGGCCCUCUUGCUACAAGGCUCCUAUCUGCCCUUAGAUAACAAGAAAGAAGAUAUUAAAGUAGGAAUUUCAUGUGUCAGUCGAUGCCGCAUUCUCAAGCAAAGAACACAGGAGCAUGAAGGAUGUGGCCACCAGGAACCGGGAAGGAGCCACCUCCUCCUUGUGGCCCAGGGGUUGGGGUGAUCAAACUUAACUGGAGGGAGAUGGGUGUUGCGUGACUUUUCCUGGGGACAUCUGACCAAGUGUUCACUCCAGAGAGAAGAUGAUGGUGACAAAUCAACCAAGUGACCUCACCUACUUCUAGUGACCCAGUGUUCUUAUUGGGGUCACCACAGAAAUGCCAGGUCACCAUGAGUUAGGACUCCUGAAAGCUGCAUCCCUGGGCGGCGCACUUGUGAGCAGUUGCAGGUGGGGUCUCCUCUGCCUAUCAGUGUCGAUCCUUACAUAACCUUGAGAGGGGUUAUGAGAAUUCUCGUAGUAUUCAGUAGCUCUGGGGCUUUUAGCUUUCAUGGACUCCCCAGGUGUCUGAAGUCUUCCUUUUCCUUCUAGAAGGGAUGUUUCAGCUGGGAGGAAAUAACUAUACAACAUGAUGUGAUUAAGAGAGAAGCCUGAGGGAGCAAUGCGAGUCCCCUGGAGGCAGUGGCUGGUAGGGUCCCCUGUGGGCUCCUGUUCUGCCCCCAGCUUGUGGCACUGUUUUGAAGGCUGUGGAGUUUUUAGAAGAUCGGGGUUGGACUGGUAGAGCUGGGUCAUUAAAGCCUUCCAUGCUUGUGCUCACUGUGGUUCCAGACUUCUUUUCUGUGCUUCUCGGUUAGACAUGAUGUGAGCAGUCGCUGCCACGUGUUCCUGCUGCCUCUUCAGCCUCCACGCCUUACACUGUAAUGGGCUGCACUCUCUCAGAAACUGCAAGCAAAAUGAACCCGACUCUCAAGUUGCAUUGUUUGGAUGCUUGGUCACAGUGAUGUGGAACAUUCCUAUCCAAGAACUAUAGGAAAGGGGCCGACUGACCAGGAGUCGGUCAGAGAGUGAUUAUAGAAGGUGCACUAUCAGAGCAGACAUCUUCUUAAGCCAGAUGGGAGUGAGCAUGGGAGGUUUGUAGUAUCAGUUCUUGGUUGGUUGUUAAGGAGGGGUGUGUGUGUGUGUGUGUGUGUGUGUGUGUGUGUGUGUGUGUGUGUGUGUUUAGUGGUACAGGCAUGUGUAGACACACCCACAAACAUGCCAGCACACCAUUGCUAUGGUUCAGAUCACAGGGAGGUGGGUGAGGGAAAAGCAGAAGGCCAGCUGGGGUUUGUCUUUGACUUAGGUCACACUCUGCCACUGCAGGAAGUCAGAGCGGGAGCUCAAGACAGGAGCCCAGAGGCAGGAGCUGAAGCAAAACCCCUGGGAUUGCUGGCUUGUUCAGUUUGCUUUCUUAUGCUCCCCAGGACCAGACCUGCCCAGGUUGACAUUGUCUGUCCCCAACUUACCCCCCAUAGGCUGAGUUUACCCACAACCAUUAAUCAAGAGAACGUCUAUAGACUUUUCUACAGGCAAUCUGAUAGAGGCAUUGUUUUUUUCUUCAAUUGAGUUUCCUUUCCCCAGAUAACUCUAGCUUGUGUCAUGUUGACAAAAACCAACCAGACAACUCUCUCCCAAGAAGGCUGUUCUAUCACUGGAGGCUGCCCAGCCCCCAGGGUGCCAUAACAAAGCCCCUCACAGGGCCACACACUUAAGGGCAUGGUGCCCACAGGACCACACUCUUCCCUCCCAAACCUGCAGUGCCCACUGGGCAACACCUCUUCCUUUCAAAGGCUAUAGUGUCCACAGAGCCACAUUCCUUCCAUCCAGGAGUUUGCCUUUGCCACUUCCAGCUGCUGGUGACAAAAGCAUGUCCUAAAUAUAGUCACAAGUCAGAGCACAGUAAGAGAGAUAGGAGAAACCAUUUGGCUCCAUGUCCUAAAGAUCUGUCAUCGGCCUCAAAUAGCCCUGGAAGGAGUCUGCCUCCACGCUGUAUCCACUAUGGCCUUAACCGGUCAAGGGCUCAAACGCUCCUGCUUAUGGUUGGCUCUCCGCCCACUUGUCCCUGGGAUGUUCUUGCUUUGUGUUGCUACCCUCCUCACACAGCCAGCAAGGUCAGUGUAAAAGGUCACUGCUCCCUAAUGUCAAAAUUUUCCUGAUGACCUGCUCUGGCCUUUCUCAACUGCUACUUCACCCUGAAGUCAUUGGAGUCCUUGGAUGGCCUCAUCUCCAGGUCCUGAGUACAGUUGCCUAGGGCUGAGGUCAGGGAGGAGUGUCCCUGAUGGGGUAUGCAGUUCUCCUUACCCUUGAGCUCAUCUAUGGCAGCCAAGUCUAAGGUAUAUAAGUAGUGCUGGCAUUUCCACACUGCUUUGGCGAGCACUGGGCUCAGCUCUUUCUGCCCAGUGGGAAUCUUUGAAGAGAGGAAUUCUUAGCACAUUGCAGACAGCGCCCCCUCUGCCUCCUUUUAGAAGGCCAGCACAUGGAUUUCCACAGAACCCCAGGAUUCCCAGAAGCCCAUGUGGGUCAAACGUCCUUACUGUCCCUCUAAGGAGAAAGGGCUCUCCUUACAAUAAGCAUGUAGGUAAACUGCAGGGGGAGGUGGUGAAAGAGUAGUAAACUCAGUGCUCCAAGGUAUGCUAAUCAUAAAACAGAUAGCGACAUUCCUUCCUCCACCCACCCGAUUCCUGGGUUCAAAGGGUGUUCAUUCAAAGAAAGUCACCCUGACCCACCCUGACCAUUGCUGUAACCCACUAUGCAAAAGUGCUAUUGCUAGGGGCUCUUAGAUUGUUAGGGGCUCUUAGAAACUGUCUUGAGAGAUAACCUGACACUUGUGACUUUGUACUUCCUUGUGAUUCUUAACUGGUAUUUUUGGUAUUUUCCAACAACGCCCUUCCCACCUCCUUGAGUUGUGGUUCCUUCCUUUAAAUACCCCCUUACUCAGCUACUCGGGGCGCCACGGUCCUCUACCCCUGCGUGGUGUAUGACCGUGGGCCCGAGAGUGCUCUUGAAUAAAAAUCCUCUUGCAGCAA
rnacentral:lncRNA from 1 species